UUAAGUUCAGCGGGUGUUCCUACCUGAUUUGAGGUCAAAUCAUGAAAAAAUUUAUAGACACGGAACCACACGAUAUGGUCGCAUCUAAUAGAUUUUGGCAUUAGAAUAAACGAAUAAAAAAAUUUAUGUACGUCAAAAAAUGCGCAAAAAAGAUGUCAAUUUUAAGCCUCUUAAAAACACUUGAAAGGUACUAUUAUAAGAUGACCCAAACUCCGGAGCAUCACAAAAGAGCAACACGCCGAUUUUUAUUAAUACUGACCCUCAAACAGGCAUACUCUCCGAAGAGAGUGCAAUUUGCGUU
rnacentral:misc_RNA from 1 species